GUCCGGCUCUGGGGCGCUAAGCGGUGCGACCUGAAGCUCCAGAGGGGCCAGCCUGUGCGGGCCGAGGAGGUGCUGUCUCUCGGUCUUUGUCCGGGCGAGACGUACCUACAGGACUCUGUACUCCCCACCAGAAGAGCCUGAACGGAGAAGUUUGUACCAUUUAAGCCUUAAAGCCAUGGCCCAGAUGAGUUGGACUUGUUCCUCAGUCUUACAGUGACUGACAAGUGAUGCCCGAAUAGGGACCUGAGUACGUGGGCUGUUGAGAGGGACCCUGGAAAUAUUUCACACGCAGACAUAUACAGGGGACACUAAGGAUCCUCGUUGGAUACCUGAGCGCCUCAUGAGAUUCUGUGGAUCCGGACCAGAUGGAUGGUGAAUUCCCUCCUCUGUAAUAUGGAUCCGGACCGGAUGGUGAACUCUCUCCCCCACCAUAUGAAGAGAAUGCAGCUCGACGACACUUUCAAUCCUCCUGAGAAACCAGCUCUCCAGGCUCAUCAGUGUUGUCUAUCCUGUGCCACGUGGAUGGCCAACCUUCCAACAUGGGGUC